rnacentral:rRNA from 1 species
GGGGAAUAUUGGACAAUGGGCGAAAGCCUGAUCCAGCCAUGCCGCGUGUGUGAAGAAGGUCUUCGGAUUGUAAAGCACUUUAAGUUGGGAGGAAGGGCAGUAAGCUAAUACCUUGCUGUUUUGACGUUACCGACAGAAUAAGCACCGGCUAACUUCGUGCCAGCAGCCGCGGUAAUACGAAGGGUGCAAGCGUUAAUCGGAAUUACUGGGCGUAAAGCGCGCGUAGGUGGUUUGAUAAGUUGGAUGUGAAAGCCCCGGGCUCAACCUGGGAAUUGCAUCCAAAACUGUCUGACUAGAGUAUGGCAGAGGGUGGUGGAAUUUCCUGUGUAGCGGUGAAAUGCGUAGAUAUAGGAAGGAACACCAGUGGCGAAGGCGACCACCUGGGCUAAUACUGACACUGAGGUGCGAAAGCGUGGGGAGCAAACA